rnacentral:rRNA from 1 species
UGGGGGAACCCUGAUCCAGCCAUGCCGCGUGUGUGAAGAAGGCCUUUUGGUUGUAAAGCACUUAAGUGGGGAGGAGGCUCUCUUGGUUAAUACCUAAGAAGAGUGGACGUUACCCACAGAAUAAGCACCGGCUAACUCUGUGCCAGCAGCCGCGGUAAUACAGAGGGUGCGAGCGUUAAUCGGAUUUACUGGGCGUAAAGCGCGCGUAGGUGGUUAAUUAAGUCAAAUGUGAAAUCCCCGAGCUUAACUUGGGAAUUGCAUUCGAUACUGGUUAGCUAGAGUAUGGGAGAGGAUGGUAGAAUUCCAGGUGUAGCGGUGAAAUGCGUAGAGAUCUGGAGGAAUACCGAUGGCGAAGGCAGCCAUCUGGCCUAAUACUGACACUGUGGUGCGAAAGCAUGGGGAGCAAACAGGAUUAGAUACCCUGGUAGUCCAUGCCGUAAACGAUGUCUACUAGCCGUUGGGGCCUUUGAGGCUUUAGUGGCGCAGCUAACGCGAUAAGUAGACCGCCUGGGGAGUACGGUCGCAAGACUAAAACUCAAAUGAAUUGACGGGGGCCCGCACAAGCGGUGGAGCAUGUGGUUUAAUUCGAUGCAACGCGAAGAACCUUACCUGGCCUUGACAUAGUAGAAACUUUCCAGAGAUGGAAAGGUGCCUUCGGGAAUCUACAUACAGGUGCUGCAUGGCUGUCGUCAGCUCGUGUCAUGAGAUGUUGGGUUAAGUCCCGCAACGAGCGCAACCCUUUUCCUUACUUGCCAGCAUUUCGGAUGGGAACUUUAAGGAUACUGCCAGUGACAAACUGGAGGAAGGCGGGGACGACGUCAAGUCAUCAUGGCCCUUACGGCCAGGGCUACACACGUGCUACAAUGGUUGGUACAAAGGGUUGCUACACAGCGAUGUGAUGCUAAUCUCAAAAAGCCGAUCGUAGUCCGGAUCGCAGUCUGCAACUCGACUGCGUGAAGUCGAAUCGCUAGUAAUCGCAGAUCAG